UUAAUUUAUUUCAUAUAUGAUUGUUUAUGAUUAAUCAUAUACACGUUUUUAUUUGUGAUUUUGAUUUGUGUUGCUCAAUUAUUGUUGGAUACUAAAAAAAGUAUUUGUGAUACACAUAUAUUGAGAUUGGUUAACACCCGAAUUUACAAAGACAUUUGAACUAUGGAUGUAAAUGAGUUUGAGGAAGAACUGUUUGCAACAGCCAGCAAGUGAUGCUAAGAUAUGAUGAUUGAAUAUAUCUUCAAUAAUUAAGGGGUAAUUGCAUUGACUAUAUAUAGGGUUUAAGCUAUGAUCAAGAAGCUUUACCUUCAGUUAGCAAGAAGAAACCACUAAUUUCUUCCUUCAAAUUGUUGAAGAACAAUGGAACCUCCAAUUUUGCUUCUACACCACAAAUCAACAAUAACUUAUGUUUCUUCAAAGCGAGAUAAUAGUAACAUUGCUGCUACCCCAACUAGCAGCAACAACAAGCAGGCUUAAUUAUUAAAAGUGAAAUCAAAUUA